CCUGAAGAGGCUGGGGGGCAACUGUUGCCAGGCAACGAGCUCGCCUAGCAACACAGCAGCGAGCCUGGGAGGCGUCUUAAAGGGGCGCAGCAUGCGAGCAGCACGGAAAGGUUGCUCUGGAGCGCCCGUGGGAGAUAGGGGGCCCACCCAAUGCCUGGUGGGAGGCAGCAGAACUCAUGCCCAACGUCAGAAACAGAUGCUGCCAAAUAUCCCCGGUCAUGAGCAAAAGCAGUUUGAAGGAGGUCAGUACCAUCUUUGUUUUACAGAUGGGGGAAACUGAGGCAGAGAGAGAAGAAGUGACUUAUCCAUGGC